ensembl:lncRNA
AGAGUGAUAGUGAUAGUGGUGUGGACUCUACAGAGUGAUAGUGGUGUGGACUCUACAGAGUGAUAGUGGUGUGGACUCUACAGAGUGAUAGUGGUGUGGACUCUACAGAGUGAUAGUGGUGUGGACUCUACAGAGUGAUAGUGGUGUGGACUCUACAGAGUGAUAGUGGUGUGGACUCUACAGAGUGAUAGUGGUGUGGACUCUACAGAGUGAUAGUGAUAGUGGUGUGGACUCUACAGAGUGAUAGUGUUGUGGACUCUACAGGGUGAUAGUGGUGUGGACUCUACAGAGUGAUAGUGGUGUGGACUCUACAGAGUGAUAGUGGUGUGGACUCUACAGAGUGAUAG